rnacentral:misc_RNA from 1 species
AACGCACAUUGCGCCCGCCAGUAUUCUGGCGGGCAUGCCUGUUCGAGCGUCAUUUCAACCCCUCAGGCCCUGGUGCCUGGCGUCGGGGCGUCCCCCUCACCGGGGAGCCCCCAGAGACAGUGGCGGACCCGCCGCGGCUCCGAGCGCAGUAGUAUUCUUCUCGCUCCGGGGACCCGCGGGGGGGCUUCCGGCCGUAAAACCCCGGCGACGGCGCGAGCCGCCCGGACACCACAAGGUUGACCUCGGAUCAGGUAGGAAUACCCGCUGAACUUAA